GAUGAACGCUGGCGGCGUGCCUAAUACAUGCAAGUCGAGCGAACGGACGAGAAGCUUGCUUCUCUGAUGUUAGCGGCGGACGGGUGAGUAACACGUGGAUAACCUACCUAUAAGACUGGGAUAACUUCGGGAAACCGGAGCUAAUACCGGAUAAUAUUUUGAAACGCAGGGUUCAAAAGAGAAAGACGGUCUUGCUGUCACUAAUAGAGAGAUCCGCGCUGCAUUAGCUAGUUGGUAAGGUAACGGCUUACCAAGGCAACGAUGCAUAGCCGACCUGAGAGGGUGAUCGGCCACACUGGAACUGAGACACGGUCCAGACUCCUACGGGAGGCAGCAGUAGGGAAUCUUCCGCAAUGGGCGAAAGCCUGACGGAGCCACGCCGCGUGAGUGAUGAAGGUCUUCGGAUCGUAAAACUCUGUUAUUAGGGAAGAACAUAUGUGUAAUUAACUGUGCACAUCUUGACGGUACCUAAUCAGAAAGCCCCGGCUAACUACGUG
rnacentral:rRNA from 1 species